rnacentral:lncRNA from 1 species
UAGGUAUAUUCUCACAGACCCUAUUAAAUUAAUGGGUAAUUAGCGAGAUAUAGCACCAUCAAAAACUGUAAUGCGAGAACAAAUACAAAGGUCGCCGGCAUGUCUAAUCUACCUGCAGAGAUCGCGAUGCCAUCCAGGUACAUUCAUGUAUGUCGAUCCAGCAGUGACAUCGAACAUGAUAAUUGCACACUGGCCACGAAUGCUGCAGAAGAACGAACAAAAGUUAAGGUUAAAAUGUGAAUAAAGGAAAUCGCCACAUUCAGAAGACCACUCUAACACCGCCAGCAUUAAGUACAAGACGCAGUCCGAAAAUAAGGUUUUGAAGAGAUACGACUGACAUAAAUUGUACCAGCUUUUAACAAAAUCAGAAGUAAGGACAACCCUGAAACAGAUAUGCACCCUUUACGGUGGAAAUUUUUUUGCAAAAAUACUUGCUUCUUCCUCCUCAACUUCACAAAUAAGAAUCGACUGCACCACUAUCAAGUGAUAAUAGUUAUCCUUAGUAAAACACAGACGGUUGAAUAAACUAUCAACCAAAAUAUAGCUACACCGUAAUUAAAGCAUUGUAAGAUACAAGCUCAAGACAACAUUUUUCCUCCUAUUUUCACUGAAUUCACGACGUAAACUGGAAUCUGAAAAAUCCUUCCACUGAUUUAUAAAGCAAGGAAAUUCUAAGACAGAACUCUCUUUACUCACUAAUAUCCAUCUCUUAGACCCUGCCCUGGAGUAUCCGAGCAGUCAAACCGGAUCAUCCCCCGGUUUGUGAAGAAAUGCAGAGGAUAGACUUCGAUGCCAGUAGUUGCUGUUAUGCGCAAGGACAAUACCAGAAGAUUAGUACAGACUAAACAAUAUGAUAUUCUAAUGACAUCAAAAAAAAAAAAGAAAAAGGAAAGGAAAUAACAGGCAUUUCCACAUCGCUUACGCUCAUAUAUCUCUUCAAAGUCCUCACGAAGAAGUCUCUUCACAAAAGUCGUUUUGCCUGCACAAAGGAACGGACUACGCUCAGUCUGCUAUCCCUUGCUUGACACUAGAAAGAAAAGAUAUAUCAUCUCAUGGCUUCUACAUCGCGACAAAUGAAGAAGAUCGCAAAAACCACUUUUUGUCUGACACCCUUCGAUUUCAGACAAAUCCCCAGAAAUUGUGGAAAAACAUGCUGUCCGCCACUCCAAAUAGUAAAUCCUCUUCAAGGAUAUAUAGCCAUAAGCAUGUUAUAUUUUCCUGAUCCCGACCAGUAAAAUAACUAGAGCAAACCCUAAUUUAUCACGACAGCAAAUGCACCUGUUCUGUAUACAAAGUAACGAGCGAUUGAAUCAAAACUGGUAAAAACAGAGCACGCCAGUGACAAUUACCAGUGCCCUUAUCGCCAACGAUGAGAAGCUUGAACCUCGGGUCAUCGAACAUCGGUUGAUUCGGUAAAGCCUGAAAGAGACACGCAAGGAAAACAGCAACAAUUAAAACAACAAACCAAAUGAGAAAAAAAAAAAAAAAUCCAAACUUUGCAAUCACGUAACCAGAUCGCUCAGCUCCAGAACCCCCAAAAGAAACAGCAUCUGACCAGGACCCAAAAGCUCGAGAAAAAUCACGAAAAGAAUCGAGAUUCAAGAAGACCCAGCAACAACAAGAACACGAGCUAUCCAUAUAAGAAUGGACGCGUGGAAAAUGGGAUGAUGAAAAGGAAAGAAAAGCACGUAGGGACCGUUUGGUUUGAUUAAGGGAUUUUUUUGAAAUGUUACCCCUUUUGGUAAAUUGUAGCAUUGAAAGGUACAUUAACAUAAAUACCAUUCGGCAAAAGUCACAAAUGGCUUUUGCUUUUUUCUUCUUUUUUUUUUAAUCUGAAAAUUAAAUCCGGCGGCCAGCUAACCACCGGCCAAUUGCCGGACGGCCAGAUCUGGCCGCCUGAGGUCGUGACCUCAGGCAACGCCGUCGUCUACGGUCGCAGAGGCCAGAUCUGGCCUCCGGACCGCCAGAUCUGGCGGCCUGAAGUCGCGCGGACCCAGGCGGUGGUCACCGGGGACGCGCGACCCCCAGGCGACGGCGGCGGUUGCCGGAGAAGCCGGAGAAGCCCGACUCUCAGGCGGGGAAGACGAAGACGAGUGGGGAAAAGAUGAAAAGUGACGCGUGAACAGCGAACUUGCAUUUUAGAAAUGCCGAAUGCUCACAGCAACUGCAUUAGGCUUUCAGCAUUAGGAAUGCUGAUAUUUGCUCAAUGAGCUUUCAAAAAAGUCUCUCAAACGCAAAAUAUUUUCCCCUUAAAAAAGUCGAACCAAACGAGGCAAACCAACUCACCAUUGAUGAUUGCGAAGAGGAGGGUCGGGAUUUUGGUGGGUGUCUGAGACACACAGAAUUUCGAAUAGGUUCCGAGCAGCACAGUGAAGUGGGAGAGUAAAGGUUGAAAAGUCGUACAGGGAGGAGGUUUUAGAUGGAAGGGAAAGCGUGAUUUUUCCCUGUUUCUUUUUUUCUUUAGCCUAACAUGGCUUAGAGCUGAUGCUGCCGUCUCCUCCGUUGGAUUCGAUUUACUUAGAACCUGCUGACCGUCCGACCUGUACCUCCCCCCCACGUUCCUAAAUUUCUUCGAGGCGAAAGUGCGAGGAAAUUUCCUAAGAGUCUAUUAUAUACAAAAAUUGAAAUUUCAAAUCCUUCGCCCUUUAUCUCCACCAAACUCCUUGGACUUUUCAUCUAUCUUCAAGGAUAUAGCCACGAGCAUGUUACGUUUUCCUGAUCCCGACCACUAAAAUAACUAGACCGAAGCCUAAUUUAUCACGUACAUAGCAACGAAUGAUUGAAUCAAUACCAGUAAAACAGAGCACGCCAGCGACAAAUUACAUGUGCCUCCAUCGCCGACAAUGAGAAGCUCGAAGCUUGGGUGAUCGAAGAGAGAGAGAGAAUCGAAUGCAUUCGGAGGAGCGAAGGGUGGUGGGAGAGGAGACAGCAGUGUAGGUUUCAAGAGGAGGGAAAGCGAUGGGAGAAUAGAACUUAGAAUUUGAAAACCGAAUCGGGGUUAUAGAUUUCGAAAAUUAAAGAAUCUGUUUCGGCGGAUAGUUUCCAGAUUCUAGAUUGGUGGAACUUACAUUGAUCUAUAUCUUCGUACGAUCCUACAGUAUUUCAUGACGUUUAAUGAUAAAUGCAUAAUUUGAAACCACUAGUAUGAGCUUCCACUUUAUAAUUGAGACUUUUACAAUAUAAAUUAUGAUCAGUAUUGUAGAAGUAAUUGGUGGUCAUUAGAAGUUAUCAUUCAUUACAAUCGUUCGAUUAAUAAUUAUAAGUAGAGCUUGGAUAAACCCGGGAACUGUGACGGGAUAGGUUUUGGGUCUCAAAAAAUGAGGAAAUUAUUCUAAUGAGUAGGUUUGCCUGAAAUUUAUACGAAAUCUUGAACCGCUCAUUCAGGGAUAAGAGGAGGAAUGAGAAGAAAGACGACGGGGAUUUUUUUUUUUUUUUUUUUUGUCGAACGUUGCUUUCAGUUGACGCUGAUGUCUCCCUCGUCAGAUUCGAUUACUUUCUUACAAGUAGUGUUCUAGAAUCUGUUGACCAUCCGAUCAUUACAGACUCCUGGUUGAACUCGCACCCCCUUUGUGUUCCUAAAUUUCGAGGGAGUGAGGAAAUUUUUGAAGAAUAUAUAAAAACAACAUUUCACGUUCUUCUCAAUUUUCAUCGAAUUUCAUUCCCUUGUUGUGUGAGAGAGGUAAGGGAACGGAAAUUUUAAAUGAAAAGCAAUCAAAAUUUUAAAAUUUUAGAUUAUUUCCUUCCCCUCCAAUUGCCAAAACAAAGCUCGGUGGUAGGCUAUCUUAAUCAAUUCCGGCAUACUAGAUCAAAUGAUUCCUUAUCAAGGAUAGACGGUUUACACCGAAACAAAGAAAAUUCACAAAUAGUUAACCAAUCAUGACCGGAGACAAUUCGCCCUUAGUAAAACUGGAAUUAGAAAGUGUUUUAGGGCCAUUGAUGAAGGUCGACUUUUACAAGGCAAUCGAAUUAUAGACCGUCAAAUUGAAGAGAUCAAGUAUCCAAACAUUUGAUGAUAAAUAUAUUGUCUACGGUUGAACUGAAAAUAACUCUUUAUCAAUUGUCGGAUGCAAAAUAGACAAGAUUACGGUGAAAUUCUCCCGUAGACACCAAAGAAAGAAAACUGGUUUUAGGGAACCAAAAUUUGAAUGAAAAGCAUGAAAAAAUUCAAAAUUUUGCCCAAAAUUUCCUCCUCUCCCAUUGCCAAACAAAGCCGUGUUACAAGCUAACUUAAUCAAUUUUGACACUCUAAAUUGAAUAUUCCUUAUCAAAAAUAGACCAUCCACACCGACGGGAAAAGACAAAUUACUAAUAAUUACUCGAUCGUGACCAGAGAUAAUGUGCCCCUAGUGAAACCUGAAAUUAGAAAGUGUUCUAGGGCCAUUGAUUAAGUUCAACUUUUGCAGGGCAAACGGAAGGAAGAGAUCAGGUAUCCAAAUGUUGGAUGUUAAAGUAAUGUCCAUCAUCGGACCAACAAUGACUCAUUAUCAAUUGUUGGAUGUGUAACGACAAAAUUACGAUGAAAUUCUCCAAAGACACCAAAGAAAGAAAACUGAUUUUCAGGAACGGAGUAUGCAUUGUUCAAUGUUUGUAAGACCUCCGACGAUUCGUGCUUGCUCGGUCCAAGUUUUCUGAAGCUUUGCCCGUGCCAUGCCACUAUGCCCGUGCAAAAAUGGGCAGUGAAUGAAUAUUUUUCGCCCGAUAUUGUCUCCUUAGAUUAUGUGUUCAAUUGGUCAUCUGUCGUUUUAAAGCACACUUAAUCGUAGUAUCGAUGGAUUCUCGAGAUGCAAACUUUGAUAAGAUGUAACAGCACGCAUAGUAAUCUAUUGCGUUUCUUUUGAGCAAAUUGUGCCAAGAGUUGUGAACCCUAUGUAUGAAAUGCGUUUAAAUUCUAAAGAUUUUAAUUGGUCCAGUCGUGUCCGAAAUCAACGUCAACGCCAUGGGUCCCACUUCCCAUAUCCCUGUGUUUUGACUCGCUUUACUGGCGACGUGCUCGGAAGGUGGGGGGGAGGGGAGGAGGGAGGGGGUGAUUUCUAGAAGUGCGUCGAAGACCAGUGAUCGUGGUGCUCUGGUGUACAUAGUCGGAGGUUUUUAGUUUGGGGUGCUUUCAAUUCGCAAUUUGAGGUUGUCGUUAGCCGCUUGUUUUUACUGGUUACGUCGUCGGCUCGCCGUUGAAAUAUGCAUUAUUAACGCGGGUUUGGAGGUACUUGUUUAUUAGUUGCAUACGCUACAAGGUCGGAGCGGCAAGAGAUACGCUUCCCUUUCUCCCGAUCGUGUGAAUUAUCGAGUAAGCGGGGAUUUGAUGUUCGUGAUGGCGAUGUGCAGAGGCUAUUUCGUUUUUUGGCCCUUGUGAUGACGACGUGCAAAGGCUAUUUCGCGUUCUCGUUGAGCGUACGUCGGCCUUUUCAAUUUGCACACUCGGUGCUUGUUUUUAUGUUUGAUAUAAGUAAAGAAUCUUUUUUCUCGAGUGGGAUUCACAGAACUUGUGAUUUGUCGUGUUAUAAAAUUUUAGUUCGAUCCAUAGAGCAGAUACGCGCGCACUUCUCUAAUUGUUAUGAUUGUUUCAUUUUAAUUACGUACAUCGUCAUAUUUUGUUAUUUUACUCUUUUUUUCGUUUCCCUUUUUAAUUUGACAUAAAAUUUUAACCAAGUAACACAUUAACAUAAAGAGCCUAAAGUAAUUAAAUGGACGCAGUACGGCAAUAUAAAUCGGGUUGAGUACAAAUUAUCAAAAUUGUAUUACAUAAGAAUGGAUCAAUACAAAUUAAAUGAAUUAAUUUAGGUCGGAACAUCUUCGAACCGACCCGCCUAUUUAACACCCUCAACAGCAUCCAUGUACCACAAUUGUCUAAAAGAAUAUGUAUGCUGUUAACUAUCAAUACAUUUUUUCCGAAAUUGAGGUCAAUUUGAUAAAUCAAGCGGAAACAAUUAUGUAAUUUAGCAAAACCAAAAAAGUGAAAACAUCUCCCAUCCCCAAUGUAGAACUCCAAAAUUGCAAGGAUGCAGGCUGAAACCACCUGCCGUCUCGAAUGCCCACUACCGUCUCCAAACCUAAAAACUGCUUUUCCAGCGCCAUCGGGAAGUGGCUGAAUAGCUGCUUCAGCAAGUUCUGCCUCAUGCCUGUUCGAGACAACAGCCACCGUAGGUCAACGGACAGUUGAGAAGAGGUUUAUGAACCAUCAAACUAGCUACACAACUUUGACUCAAAAAAAAGAAAAAAGAAAAAAAAGAAAACUAGCUACAGAGCAAUUUACGAAAAAGACAAGAUAGUUUGACCAAGCGACGCAACCACUGGCGACGCUGAUGGGGACCAGCACGUCCUCUUGUUUUGUUUUUGAAAAAAGACACUGGCCCCAGAAUACUAUUAUAUCUGUGACCCCUAGCGAGUUGACAACCUAUCCUUUUCAAGAUGUGUGACCCGUUGACGAUCUCAAAAAAAAAUUUGCGUUUUUAAAAAAAGAUACUGGCCACAGAAUACUAUUAUAUCUGUGACCCGACCCGACAAAAAGAUCAGAUAGACCGGACAGACAACCCCAGCUACAAUUACCACUCCAUAAUACCAACCGCAUCAUUCGCAAGCACGAUUGCGAUUUACUUAUAUGCAAUUAAGUGCAUCCAGAAGAGAGAGGCGGAGGACCAAGGCCAGGAUGCACGACGACACGACUAUUCGUAAAAAUUAACGUUAUAAAAAGCAGAUAAUGUAGGCCAAGAUUCUUACUGCUGCUGUGGGGCAAAGUCCAUGUGCACUUCUGGAGGAGUAAGAGCAGGAGACUCAACGACGUGCAGAUUUGGCUCCCUGCGUUUACCAGAACAAAUGAUUAGCCACUAGACCGUAACAACUUUCGCAAAUAGCAGAUAAUAUAGGCCCAGAUUCUUACUGCUGCUGUGGAUCAAAGUCCAUGUGCACAGCCGGAGUAGCAAGAGCAGGAAACUCAACAAAGUGCAGAUUUGGAUCCCUGCGUUUACCACAACAAAUGAUUAGCUACUUAGACCAUAACAACUUUUGCAAACAGGAUUUGCACGUUUUGCUCAAGUACCCAGUAAGUUUUCUGGCCAGGUAGAGGAGGGGUUUCUCAAGGUUGUACUUGCUUUUUGCAGAAAUUUCAUAAUACUGCAAAUUCUUCUUCCGCCGGAAGGUAACCUGCCUUGCUUGAACUUGCCUAUUCUGCACAUCUACCUUGUUUCCACAGAGAACUAUAGGUAUAUUCUCACAGGCCCUAUUAAAUUAAUGGGUAAUUAGCAAAGAUAUAGCACCAUCGAAAACUGUAAUGCGAGAACAAAUACAAAGGUCGCUGGCAUGUCUAAUCUACCUGCAGAGAUCGCGAUGCCAUACAGGAACAUUCGUGUAUGACGAUCCAGCAGUGACAUCGAACAUGAUAAUUGCACACUGGACACCAAUGCUGCAGAACAACGAACAAAAGUUUGAAAUUUGGAUACCCACAGACACAGGAGGGAGAGGGAGGGAAUCCCUCUCCCACAAGCAAGGUUAAAAUGUGAAUAAAGGAAAUCGCCACAUUCAGAAGACCACUCUAACACCGCCAGCAUUAAGUACAAGACGCAGUCUGAAAAUAAGGUUUUGAAGAGAUACGACUGACAUAAAUUUUACCAACUUCUAACAAAAUCAGAACUAAGGACAACCCUGAAACAGAUAUGCACCCUUUACGGUGGAAAUUUUUUUGCAAAAAUACUUGCUUCUUCCUCCACAACUUUACAAAUAAGAAUUGACUGCACCACUAUCAAGUGAUAAUAGUUAUCCUUAGUAAAACCCAGACAGUUGAAUAAACUACCAACCAAAAUAUAGCUACCCCGUAAUUAAAGCAUUGUAAAAUACAAGCUCAACACAACAUUUUUCUUCCUAUUAUCACUGAAUUCACAAGAACGUAAACUGGAAUCUGAAAAAUCCUUCCACUGAUUUAUAAAGCAAGGAAAUUCUAAGACAGAACUCUCUUUACUCACUAAU